rnacentral:rRNA from 1 species
UACGUAGGGGGCGAGCGUUAUCCGGAUUUACUGGGCGUAAAGCGCGUUAAGGCGGUUGGCAAAGUUGGUUGUGAAAUCUCUGGGCUCAACCCAGAAAUUGCGACCAAUACUGGUCGACUAGAGUGCAAGAGAGGAAGGUGGAAUUCCCGGUGUAGCGGUGAAAUGCGCAGAUAUCAGGAGGAACACCGGUGGCGAAGGCGGGUCUCUGGGCCGAUACUGACGCUGAGGAGCGAAAGCGUGGGGAGCGAACAGG